UGCCGCUGACGUCAAUAUUGUGCUCGACUGUUUAUUAGAUAAGGCUAUUUUCUGGAAUCAUGUAUCUCUUUGCUGUAUAAAUACCCUGGUACCCAAUAAAGCUUUGCUGGGACACACAGGAGCGUCAGCCCUCCCAGUUCUGUCUGUCUUCUCUUUUUUCUCCAGUCUCACCCCCCUCUCGCCAGGUCCAGUUCGACUCAGCAUGGCUGGACCGUGUCAACUUCCUUGGUUAGGUUUAUUCCUAGGCCUCUACUCCUUGUAAAUAUGCAGGACUGCACAGGAAUCCUUGACUGAGGAGAGUCAAUAUUGUUAUAAGAAAGAAUGAUAAUUCACUCCCUCCUUCAUCAGUCAUUCCAACUAGUCAUGAUUUUCCUUUCUGAUCUGGCAGCUAUGAUACCAGGCAGAGCUGCCUGGGAACACUGUGAGCCAAGUCUGAUCAGAAGUCCCCCAACAGUGGAUUAAUGAUCCAAGAUGAGAACAAAAUGCAACUGAAGGAGUGAAAAAUAAACUGUCAAAUUGCACUGUUGAGAGAGAUCCUAUUUCCAGCGGUUCAGAUGCCAGAAAGGGAGGGUUGAAAAUUAACUCUGUGAGGUGAAUGAAAUGCUAGGGUCCCAAGACUCCAAGGCAGUACCGUAAACCCAAACACUAGCACUAAGCUCCUCUGUAGCCUCUGGUACCAGGAGACCCCCAUCCCAGGAGACAACGGGGGACCUGCCUGCUUUUUGCACGCAUGAAGUAGUGGCUGGUGGAGGGCUGGGUAGGAGUGCUCUUGAAUGGAGAUAAGAGAUUUAGUUCCUCUCAUGGUUCAAUCUGUGUCUCCGUCACCCUGAACGCAAUUUGCUAACCCACCACUGGAGACCAAAGUCUUUGAGCUUCCCUCCUUGUGUAAUUUGUUAGGUAUGUUCCUGCCUGAGAGAGCUCGUGUGGCCUUGUGUUUAGGACUCAGACACAUGUCAGUUUACAUCCUUGUUAACCAUUCGACCUUGGACAUGUCACAAUCUCUCCAAGUUGCAGUUUGCUUAUUUGUAAAACUGGGAUGAAGUUGCCUAGUCCAUAGAACAGUGAGGACCAAUUGAAAUAAUGUGUAUAAUUGGAAGCUAUUAUCCUGUAGUAAGGAAUUUGUAUUCAGGUAUGACUUACAAGAUCUAUGUUUCCAAAGAAGGUGAAAUGGUAGAGUAAACCCACACUACUACAUCUGGGCUAGAAGUGAGGAAGUGAGGAAUUCCAAAGACAAUUCCAUCUGAAUUUAACUCAUUCACUCCAAAAAUCUUUCUUGAGUGUCUACUAUGUACAAGGUGCCAUGCCAGACAUUAGCAUUGCCCUAAAUAUCUUUUGAAUUUAGGAGGGGAGAUAAGGUAUGACCCCACCUUCCGAUCAGCCCUGAGGACAAGCGCAUGUCUGCCUAGAGGGAGAUCAGUGAUGCUGACAUCUCUCCGGCAAGUUGCCUAAGUCCAUCUGCCUGUCUCUUUCCUGCUACUAAAGAUCCCCAAGGCAAGAACUUCCAUAGCUGCCGUUGGUCGCCAAUUCUGUGUCUUAAAACAGUAACAGGCGAUUCUUGGUGUCUAACUGUAACAUCUUGUGCUGUAGUUAAAUCUGAUCCCUCCAGUCUGUUCUCAGAGAAGAUGGAGCAGCUGGCCACCAUCCUCUGCAUAAUAACCCUUUAGGGGACUGGAGACUGCUACUUAGUCCCCUUUGGGCUCGAGGUAUGACUGCCCACUGUGGACUAAUUAAGAUACCAGGAUGCAGACACUGUACUUCAUUUUCAUGACAAAUGAGUUUCUAUGGGAACUGAGUGACACAGAGGACAGUGUAGGUUGCCUUUGGCCGCAGACAAGAUGUGGAGGCAGGUGGCUGCCAGGUGGCCAGGGAUUUUCUUCCAGGGACGAUAAACAGGCUAUGGUGCGCCCUGAGAGCACAUCAUCCCAUCAGAGCCCACAGAAGUUCAUCCUGGAGACAACGGACGUUUGCACCCAUCCAGACAGUCACUUUCGAAAGGAGAAGCAGGUGGUGAAAUAAGGAUUAAAGAGAAAUCAGUAUGAUGUCUUAGUUCGAUCCUAAUUUGCUGGUGUACUAACAGUCGUUU